CCUACGGGAGGCAGCAGUGGGGGAUAUUGCACAAUGGGGGGAACCCUGAUGCAGCGACGCCGCGUGGGUGAAGAAGCGCCUCGGCGCGUAAAGCCCUUUCAGCAGGGAAGAAAAUGACGGUACCUGAAGAAGAAGCCCCGGCUAACUACGUGCCAGCAGCCGCGGGAAUACGUAGGGGGCAAGCGGUAUCCGGAUUUACUGGGGGUAAAGGGGGCGCAGACGGCGAUGCAAGCCAGGAGUGAAAGCCCGGGGCCCAACCCCGGGACUGCUCUUGGAACUGCGUGGCUGGAGUGCAGGAGGGGCAGGCGGAAUUCCUGGUGUAGCGGUGAAAUGCGUAGAUAUCAGGAGGAACACCGGUGGCGAAGGCGGCCUGCUGGACUGCAACUGACGUUGAGGCCCGAAAGCGUGGGGAGCAAACAGGAUUAGAUACCCUAGUAGUC
rnacentral:rRNA from 1 species